GAUGAACGCUAGCUACAGGCUUAACACAUACAAGUCGCGGGGCAGCAUGGGGGUUGCUUGCAAUCCCCGAUGGCGACCGGCGCACGGGUGAGUAACGCGUAUCCAACCUGCCCUUCACCACGGGAUAACCCGGCGAAAGUCGGACUAAUACCGUAUGUUGUCCAUUGACGGCAUCUGAUUUGGACGAAAGGUUUGGCGGUGAAGGAUGGGGAUGCGUCCGAUUAGCUGGACGGCGGGGUGACGGCCCACCGUGGCGACGAUCGGUAGGGGUUCUGAGAGGAAGGUCCCCCACACUGGAACUGAGACACGGUCCAGACUCCUACGGGAGGCAGCAGUGAGGAAUAUUGGUCAAUGGGCGUAAGCCUGAACCAGCCAAGUAGCGUGCAGGAUGACGGCCCUAUGGGUUGUAAACUGCUUUUAUGCGGGGAUAAAGUGGCCCACGUGUGGGUUUUUGCAGGUACCGCAUGAAUAAGGACCGGCUAAUUCCGUG
rnacentral:rRNA from 1 species